CAGUAGCCGCGGUAAUACGGAGGGUGCAAGCGUUAAUCGGAAUUACUGGGCGUAAAGCGCACGCAGGCGGUCUGUCAAGUCAGAUGUGAAAUCCCCGGGCUUAACCUGGGAACUGCAUUUGAGACUGGCAGGCUAGAGUCUUGUAGAGGGGGGUAGAAUUCUAGGUGUAGCAGUGAAAUGCGUAGAGAUCUGGAGGAAUACCGAUGGCGAAGGCGGCCCCCUGGACAAAGACUGACGCUCAGGUACGAAAGCGUGGGGAGCAAACAGGAUUAGAUACCCGGGUAGUCCCUGUCUCUUAUAC
rnacentral:rRNA from 1 species